GGUGGUAUGGCGCAAUUGGUUAGCGCAUUCGGCUGUUAACCGAAAGGUUGUAAGUUCGAUCCUUACUAUCACCG
rnacentral:tRNA from 1 species